UGGUCCGUUGGUCAAGGGGUUAAGACACCGCCUUUUCACGGCGGUAACACUGGUUCGAAUCCCGUACGGACUAU
rnacentral:tRNA from 1 species